rnacentral:rRNA from 1 species
UACGUAGGGUGCAAGCGUUUAAUCGGAAUUACUGGGCGUAAAGCGUGCGCAGGCGGUUUUGUAAGUCUGUCGUGAAAUCCCCGGGCUCAACCUGGGAAUUGCGAUGGAGACUGCAAGGCUAGAAUCUGGCAGAGGGGGGUAGAAUUCCACGUGUAGCAGUGAAAUGCGUAGAGAUGUGGAGGAACACCGAUGGCGAAGGCAGCCCCCUGGGUCAAGAUUGACGCUCAUGCACGAAAGCGUGGGGAGCAAACAGG